ensembl:lncRNA
UAUAUAUAUAUAUAUAUAUGCUGAACAAAAAUAUGAACGCAACAGUUUCAAAGAUUUUUCUAAGUUACAGUUCAUUUAAGGAAUAAAUUCAUUAGGCCCUAAUCCAUGGAUUUCACUGGGAAUACAGAUAUGCAUCUGUUGUUCAAUAGAUACCUUUAAAAAAUCAAGAUUGGGGCGUGGAUCAGAAAACCAGUCAGUAUCUGGUGUGACCUCAUUUGCCUCAUGCAACGCAACAUCUUCUUCGCAUAGUUGAUCAGGUUGUUGAUUGGCUGUGAUCAUGUUGUUCAGUGGCUGUGCUAAGUUGCUGGAUAUUGCCGGAACUGGAACAUGCUGUCGUACACGUCGAUCCAGAGCCUCCCAAACAUGCUCAAUGGGUGACAUGUCUGGUGAGUAUGCAGACUAUUUGAAGAACUGGGACAUUUUCAGCUUCCAGAAAUUGUGUAUAGAUUCUUGUGACAUGAGGCCAUGCAUUAUCGCGCUGAAACAUGAGGUGAUGACAGCGGAUGAAUGACACGCCAAUGGGCCUCCAGGAUUUUGGCACCGUAUCUCUGUGCAUUCACAUUGCUAUUGAUUUAAAAUGCAAUUGUGUUUGUUGUCCGUAGUUUAUGCCUGCUCAUACCAUAAACCCACCGCCACCAUAGGGCGCUCUGUUCACAACGUUGACAUCAGCAAACCACUCUCCCACACCACGCUGUCUGCCAUCUGCCUGGUACAGUUCAAACCGGGAUUCAUCCGUUUCGAGCACACUUCUCCAGCGUGCCAGUGGCCAUCGAAUGUGAGCAUUUGCCCACUGAAGUCGGUUACGACACCAAACUGCAGUCAGGUCAAGACCCUGGUGAGGAUGACGAGCACGCAGAUGAGCCCCCUUGAGACGUUUUUUUGACAGUUUUUGCAGAAAUGUUUUGGUUGUGCAAACCCACAGUUUCACCAGCUGGUCCCAGAUGAAUCCGCAGGUGAAGAAGCCAGAUGUGGAGGUCCUGGGCUGGCGUGGUUACACAUGGUUUGUGGUUAUGAGGCCGGUUGGACGUACUGCCAAAUUCUCCAAAACGAAGUUGGAGGUGGCUUAUGGUAGAGGAAUGAACAUUAAAUUAUCUGGCAACAGCUUUGUUGGACAUUUCUGCAGUCAGCAUGCCGAUUGCACGCUCCCUCAACUUGAGACAUCUGUGGCAUUGUUGUGACAGAACUGCACAUUUUAGUGGCCUUUUAUUGUCCCCAGCACAAGGUUUACCUGUGUAAUGAUCAUGCUGUUUAAUCAGCUUCUUGAUAUGCCACCCCUGUCAUGUGGAUGGAUUAUCUUGGCAAAGAUUACAUUUGUAUUUUUGUUCAGUGUGUGUAUGUAAUAAAUAUAUAUAUAUACACACACACACACACACACACACACAUUCACUAAGUGGUCAGUUUAUUAGGUACACCAGCCCGUUCACAAAAAUGGUUCACUCCUACAGACAGUGAGUCACGUAACCAUGGUUUUCUAUAUAAAGCAGGCAGAUGGGCAUUGAGACAUUCAGUUACUGUUUGAUUAAAGUGUGGUAUGAUUGUCGGUACCAGGAAAGCCCGGUGCUAGUAUCUCAGAAACGGCCGGCCUGGGCUUUUCACGCAUGAGUGUCUAGGGUUUACCGAGAAUGGUCCGACAAACAAAAAGCAUCCAGUCAGCGGUAGUUCUACGGACGAUAAAACAGCUCGUAGAUGAGAAGUCGCAGGAGAAUGGCAAGAAUCGUGCAAGCUAACAGGCGGGCCUCAAACAGGGAAAGAAUGCAGUACAACAGUGGUGUGCAGAACGGCAUCUCGGAACACACAAGUCGUUAAUCCGGGUGGGCUAUUGUAGCAGACGACCACACCGGGUUCCACUCCUAUCAACUAAAAACAAGAAUAAGUGGCUCCAGUGGGCACGCAAUCACCAACACUGGACAAUUUGAGGAGUGGAAAAACAUUGCCUGGUCCAAAGUGUCCCGGUUACUGUUGCAUCAUGCUGAGUCAAGAUUUUGCAUAAGCAGCAUGAGUCCAUGGCUCCAUCCAGCCUGGUGUCAACGGUACAGGCUGGCGGUGUAAUGGUGUGGGGAAUGUUUUCCUGGAACAUGUUAAGUCCUUUGAUACCAAUUGAGCAACGUUUCCAUGCCUCAAAUAAUUCAGGCUGUUCUGGAGGCAAAGGGAGGUCCGAUACGCUAGAUGGGUGUACCUAAUAAACUGGGUCCGAUACGCUAGAUGGGUGUACCUAAUAAACUGGGGGUCCAAUACGCUAGAUGGGUGUACCUAAUAAAUUGGCCACUCUGUGUGUGUGUGUAUAUAUACAUACUCAGUGGCCAGUUUAUAUAUAUUUGUUAAUGUUUACAAACAGAUUAUCUCACUUCAUCUCGGUGAAUGGUGUAUUGUUUGUUUAGGUGUUUAGAAUUGCGCAGAUCUCCUUGUGAACAUAGUCCUUCUAAUAAGGUGAAUUACAAGGGCAUAUAGUGUAAUGUAUGACAUCAUUACAUUUAAGUUCCAUUUGUCAGUUCCCCAGUCUCGCUCUCCAUUGUGGGCAUAAUUGGUUCAUAUUGUAAACCACAAGUGUUUAAGAGGAGGAGAGGGGAGGCAUUUUCACUCUUCUAUGACUGUCCCCCUUCACUGUCUAUGGAAACAGACAGGAAUGCAUUUUUGGAGAGGAAGUUACAUUUCAUUCAAAUUGAGAGGUUGAGCAGCAUAUUUUCUGGUGAUUAUUUCCUCCUAGGAUUUAGUGUUACACUUCAUUAGAUAAGUGAAGUGUUAUAUUAUACAAAUAUGGUCAAAGUCUGUUUGUACACGGUAAUGCAGCCAGCCUUGAGGGACUAAUUUCCAACAUACUGACCUGAGAGAGAGGUGGCUGUUCAUUGGCUCUGUGUGCAGUAAUUUAAGUGAUGCUGUGUGUACUGUACUGUACACGCAAAUGUUAUGUUUUAAAUUGUUCUGCUAAACCUUUUUAAAGCACUUUCACAGUUUAUUGCUACAUACUUUUGGUAGGUCAUAACAGACAUGACAUUGUACAUGCUUGAAAUGGAUACCUCUUUUCUGUAGUAAUGUAGGAAUUUUCAACUGUUUUGUAACUUCUGGUAUAGGUCCAACGACAUGAUAAAAUAUCUUUGGGUCUGAAAACGUUAUCUCACACAAGUUACUGCCGAUCACAUUUUCUGUUUAAUUUUUUUAUCAUAGUAGAACGACUAACGCCCUCAUCUUAAUUCAAGGUAUUUAGCACAUUCUGUAUUUUGACCUGGUGGGUAUUUAUUUUCACCUUUUUGUAUGACUGUGUACAUCUCCACAAAUUGGUUUUGUAUCAACAUUAGGUUGUAGAGUACUUCGGUAUCAGAUAAGUAAAGAAAAUGUACAGUGUUUUUAAUCUCGUCCUCCUAUGACAGAUUUUUGAAAUUAUAUCACACCCUUUAUACUAGUUGAUUGAUGUAUCAAAAACACCUAUUGGAAAACCGCAUCCACCCAAAGUAUUAAGUAACAAGACUAUAAAACAAUAGGGAGCUUUAAAAUGGAUGAUUCUGUAUGUAGUUGUCGUUUACGUUUCAUAUAUUUUCUAUUCGUGUAAUGGUACCGCUGUUUGAUAACAGCUGCUCCUCAUAGGCCAAGCUCUCUGUAUUGUGACUCACUGUACUCCUGUUAACGCAGUUGAAAGCAAUUGAACAUUGUGAUGUGAAGUAAACGAGCACUUAAUUCAGCCUAAACUCACAUGAUCAUGUUGAACCUAGAACAAUAGUCUGCUACUCUUGUCUGAGCCCGUGCUUUCUCUUCUCUGGAACAUUACUGGUUUAUGUGUCCAUGCCUUUUAAAAACCAUAGCUCACAGAAAAAUACACGUUUGUCAAAUGUUUCCAUAGCUCUUGUCGUCUUGUGUCAAUCUGUGUCCACGUUCAUGUCUCAACGAAAUAGAAUUAGAUUGUGCCAAUGUCUUACAUUAAUUUGGGAUUGAAGCCUGUUGAUUUCUCCUAAUGCAUAUAGCAGGGUAAACACAAUUGAAUGGAAUAUAGACUCGGUUGCUCUCAAACCUGCCAAAUGAUAGUAUUUUCUUUCGAUAGGUGUUAGAUUUAGAUCAUUUCAGUACUAGGCUGUGGUCCACGCAGCACACGAUCAUAUAGGUGCAUCAAGGCACUGUCAUAUUUUUAACAACCUUUUAAAACUUGAAUUAUAUUUUGUUCUUUAAUUUCAUUAUUUUUGUAUUGUUUGGUACUACAGAUCAAUAUGUUCACAAACAUGAGUAUUUUAUUGAUAACUGAUUUGACAUGAUAGAUAGAUAUCUAUGAUGGAUAUUAGGUCUAUUCAUUCUGAGCCACAUCUCAGGUCCUCUGGCUGUCUUGUCAUGGUUUGUAAGGAGUACCUAGUCUUUAAGCCUUCUCUAACCUUCAAUUAGUGACCAUUGUAAACUGGACCAUUGUAUGCUUACCCCAACACAAAAGCAAUUUGUGCAGAACUAUAUCAUUUUUACCCAAGACUGGAUGCACCCCUUCCAUUCUGAAAGGAAGGCAAAUCAGAAUCUGUUUUACCAGUUGGGGACAUAUUUUGUAUCCGUUUGUAAUGCUCAUUUGUUGUUAUGUUAAAAAAACAAAAACACGUGGAUUCUCUUAGGUCAUUGUGUUUUGAUUUGAUCCUCUAUUGGUAUUGCACAAAGAUUAUCCAGGCCAACCCAAUAGCCUUCUUUUUUUUUUGCACCUGUUUUGAAACGGUACUCACUUUAUGCUAGUUGGACUUGAACACAACAUUCAGCCUGUACAAUGACCAUAUAGUUGUCAUUCUGUUUGCCACAGACAUUAUGGAUUUGAACCAUGUUUUUACAUGAUCCUCGCUGAAGAGGAUGUCAAACAGUAGGGUUACGAAGACUGAGUUAUCAAAGUAUUAUCUUCCAACACAGACUUUGGAAGGGGCCCUUUCUGAAUCAUAUGUUUCUGUUCCACACCUUCCAGUUAUUUUUUAUUUUGUGCAAUACUAUUUGUUAUUUCUGUCAUUACAGGUGAUUGACAUGCUCUCCCAGACAUUAGGAAAAAGUGUUUUCAGAGGAACUAAUUUCUCCAGUCAUAUAUUGAAACUGCUUUGGGGAUUACGCCGGGGUCGUAUCUAUCAAUGUUGCUUCAAUUAAAAAGUGGAUGAACACCGAGUUACCAUAUUGUUUUACUGUUCAGCAGUCAUUAUUGCAUAAUGUUAAGACUUGUACAUAAAUUGCAUUGAACUUGCAUAGGAUAAUGUUACUGUGGCGUGCUAUUGCCUGUAAAAUUCUGCUUCUAAAUGUGUGUGUGACUGUGAGGAUGCCGCUCUUUUGUACAUGACUGUCUUUUUAUUUUUUUCAUUCUAAAGGAGGUUGAGUUGGAGCUGAGGAGUUCAGACAUGCCUGAAGUUUGACUUAAAUAAAGCUGUACUGUGUCU